rnacentral:rRNA from 1 species
AAAUUGAAGAGUUUGAUCAUGGCUCAGAUUGAACGCUGGCGGCAGGCCUAACACAUGCAAGUCGAACGGUAACAGAAAGCAGCUUGCUGCUUUGCUGACGAGUGGCGGACGGGUGAGUAAUGUCUGGGAAACUGCCUGAUGGAGGGGGAUAACUACUGGAAACGGUGGCUAAUACCGCAUAACGUCGCAAGACCAAAGAGGGGGACCUUCGGGCCUCUUGCCAUCGGAUGUGCCCAGAUGGGAUUAGCUUGUUGGUGGGGUAACGGCUCACC